rnacentral:lncRNA from 1 species
GCAGUAAGUGGGCUUCUUGGUCACUUUCACAGCCUUUCUUUACCGGUUCUCACUGUGGUCUGGAAGAAAGGACUUGAAGGCAGAGGGCAGUAAAGACAGAGGAACAAAGCUGGGGGGUACGCUUUGGGCUGGAAAAGGAGGGAAAAGUGAUCCUUUAAUUAAGACGAGUGUCCUUUUGUACCUGUACUGUAUCUUUUUGAUGUGUCGAGGUAGAGAGGACAUGAGCAAAAGAGAAACAAUGUAAGUUUGCUACUGUAUGAAUUCCUCCUCCUUAUACUUAAUCCCAUCCUUAUUGGGGCCCCGGGUAGAAAGCUGAUAAUUUCGGUGAGACCUCAAAGAAAGGCAGUGGCUUGAAUUCCUGCCACCAUCCCCUUGAUAAUGAACAGGCCUAAUGAAUGCGGGUAAGUGGUAGGAAUCUGUGACCAGCUGCAACGGGGCAGGUAAUACAGCUCAGAUUUAAUUGGGAGCAGGUAUUGGAAGGCUGUAUUACUUUAAUUGGUGAGGGGUUUUCUAAAUGGAAAGGACAAAGUAUAAUGGACAAAUUGUGCAGUACAAUAGCACUUAAGCCGGGAUUGUAUGCAUUCGUUAAUCUGCUGAGGAAUGAGGCAAUUCUAAACAAUUUUCUCAGUGAAACCAACUCCAGAAAGCUCGUACCUUUUGUUCUCCCUUGGGAAAAUGUAAGAUUGAAACAGAAAAUACCUUUACCGAGGCAAUCAUGUGCCACGUGUGGAAAGCGGAUACAGCUGUAAACUAUGAAAAAGGGAUCUUUGUAGUACAAUAAAGGAUGGAAAAAGAGAUAAAGCUCGGGAUAAGAGUGAGCCUGUCACUGCCUCUAAAGGAGGAAUAAAGUGAUGGCAUUUACAGUGACAGACGAGACUCUAAAGAGAACGCGGGACAGUUUAGAGAGGGAAAUUUGAUAUUUAAAAGAAAGGGCUGUGAUAAUUAAAAGUAGCAUUACAUUAAACUCUUACGCAUAUCGUUAAUGACAGAAGGAAACUGGUGCCUUUUAAAAAGUUAAUGAUUCUUAUAAAACCAUUCUUGAAACCUUACACUUUUAGAAGUCGGUAUGAACAUAAACUGGGCCUCACAGGUUGUAUUUCUGAUUUCCAACUUCCCUUAAAAGUAUAACAAGCGGGGCGCCUGGGUGGCUCAGUCGGUUAAGCAUCCGGCUUCGGCUCAGGUCAUGAUCUCAUGGUUCGUGAGUUCGAGCCCCACGUCGGGCUCUGUGCUGACAGCUUGGAGCUCUCUUUGGAUCCUGUGUCCCCCUCUCUCUGUGUCCCUCCCCCACUUCUCUCUCUCUCUCUCUAAAUAAAUAAAUAGGUAAACAAACAUUAAAAAAAAUCUCAAAUAUAACAAUCAAUACAAUUGGAAUUAUACUCCAGUAAUUCUGUGGCAUAUCGCUCCAUGGAUAAGUGCUCAAGACCUGUGCAGCCACGGAAAGGAUGGUCUGGGACCAGUCAUGGAAACGUUGCCACAAAAGGCUGUCGUAUUGAUACGUGGGUAUAAAAUGAACCUACGGGACAUUCAUUGUCAAGCUCAUGCUAUUUUCCUUGUUUUCCUUUGAUGAUUUAUAUUUGACAACAUCCAAGAGCCAAUCUAUGGGAUGCCACCUCUGAGGGAAAAAAAAAAAAAAAAAGCUUCCAGAUUUGUCGUUCCGAGACCUGCUCUGAUGGGACUGUUUAACCCGACUUUCAAACUGGUUUAACUUAAUGGUUGACGAGCAACAGUACCUGAGUUCUUUUAAGGGGACUCUUACACUUGUAUAUUUCAUUACAGGUGGGAAAACUGGAAAGAUUGAAUAUCCUUUGGAGUUCACAGAGGUUUGGCAGUGGGAGAAGAAAAACAAAACAGAGCCUGGUGGGAGUGUUGAGCAGACUUUCCCAAGAUCCCAGG